GACGAACGCUGGCGGCGUGCUUAACACAUGCAAGUCGAACGAAGAGCGAUGGAAGCUUGCUUCUAUCAAUCUUAGUGGCGAACGGGUGAGUAACGCGUAAUCAACCUGCCCUUCAGAGGGGGACAACAGUUGGAAACGACUGCUAAUACCGCAUACGAUCUAAUCUCGGCAUCGAGGAUAGAUGAAAGGUGGCCUCUACAUGUAAGCUAUCACUGAAGGAGGGGAUUGCGUCUGAUUAGCUAGUUGGAGGGGUAACGGCCCACCAAGGCGAUGAUCAGUAGCCGGUCUGAGAGGAUGAACGGCCACAUUGGGACUGAGACACGGCCCAGACUCCUACGGGAGGCAGCAGUGGGGAAUCUUCCGCAAUGGACGAAAGUCUGACGGAGCAACGCCGCGUGAGUGAUGACGGCCUUCGGGUUGUAAAGCUCUGUUAAUCGGGACGAAAGGCCUUCUUGCGAAUAGUGAGAAGGAUUGACGGUACCGGGAUAGAAAGCCACGGCUAACUACGUG
rnacentral:rRNA from 1 species